rnacentral:lncRNA from 1 species
GUGAGGCAUAAAACAUAUAAUAACAGAACAUGCAAUGUCACAAUUAAAAUGAAUGAAUUAUUCAUUGGAGUAGUGCACAGUUUGUAGAUAAAUGAAGUGUGUAUAUAUAUGUAUUUGCAUACGUUUGUAAGUGUUUAUAUGUGUUUAUAUAUAUAUAUAUAGAAAGAGAGAGAGAGGGGAAAAAGAAAAAACGUGGCAAAUAAAAAGUUGUUGACGAAAGUAAAAUCACAAUAACCUUAGGCUUGACAAAACAAAAAAAGAAAAAAAUAAUAACAUAAAAAAAAAAUAGUCUAUCCUCUCCCCCAUAAAAAGUAGCUACUUUCCAAUAAAAAUAAAAUACGUUUUAACACGAAUAAGAUAAGACCCCACACGAAUAAUACACGUUGCAAAACAUGCAGAUACAGAACUAACAGCUAUGGAUUCAUUACCAUUUUUAGAAGAUCUAGAAAAUGAUUUAAAGUUAUUAAUAAAUGAGACAAAAAAGAAAAACAUUUGCAUAAAGGAGAAAACUGAAAUAAUCAUUAUAAACUUUAAGAAUUAUAAUAGUAUAAUAAUAACAAACAAAAAUAAUUUGUUAAGUAAUUUUCAUUUACCUAUAGAUGAACUUUUUGAAAUUAUAAAUAUAUGUAUCAAUAUUAGUAAUCAUAAAAUUACUUGCAUUUGUUUAAUAAUUAUUCAACGAAUUUUGUUAUAUGUAUUAUAUUUAAUAGACAAUAAAAAAUUAAUAUUCAGUUUUAAUGAAAUAAAUAUAGAAAAACAAAUCGAAAAAAUCGUAAAUAAGUUAUUUGAUAUAACUUUUAUAGAGGAUCGUAAAAUAUUAAUUAAAAUUUUACAAACAAUAUUAUUAGCAUUUUCACCACAAUAUAUAGAACAUUAUAAUAAAGAUAUAAUUAACACAUUAAUAAAAAUACUAUACUCUGUUUAUUAUUCAUCCUUAUGUAACAAUAAUCAUAUUUUACAUCAGACAUGUUGCGCUGCCUUUAAACAGCUACUUAAUUCAUUGAUUGAUGUAUGUAAUAAAGAAUGUGAAAUUAAUUUUUAUGAAAAAAAUAUUACUGUCUCAAAAUGUUCUUCUUUUGAAUACAGUAAGAUAAAAAAAAAGAAAAAAAAAAAAAUAGACGACAAUGGAAACGGAAGCGACUAUGAUCACAAUGACGAAUAUGAACAUAAACGAGAUAGUAAACCUACCGAGGAAAUAUAUAUAGAUAAAAUCAGUUUUUAUUUUGAAAAUUAUAAUUUAUAUUAUGAUGUAAACAGUCCAGUGGACCUAAUUUAUAUAAAUAAAUAUAUUAAUGAGAAUAAAAUGCAAAAUAAAAAUAAACUUUUGUCGUUAAUUCAUUAUUUGUGUUAUUGUUGUUUUGUGAAUAUUCGAUCAGAAUAUUGCUCAGAAAAUAUGUGUACUUACGCAAAGGUAACUCAAAAUAUCGAAACUUUUCAAAACAUAAAAGACUCAACAAAUCAUAAGAAUAGUUGUGACAAUAACUAUGCCAAUAGUUAUACAUGCAGCAAUAGCAACACGAAUAUACAAACUCAUUUGCAAACAAAAGAUAAUAACAAUGCAAAUGGUACUAUAACAAUAAAAAAAGUUAGUGAUAAAGACGGUUAUUUUGAUAAAGCAAAAAACGACAAUGGGCACAUAGACCCAAAUGUAGACCCAAAUGUAGACCUAAAUGGAAACCCAAAUGUAAGCCCAAAUGUAAACCCAAAUGUAAGCCCAAAUGUAAGCCCCACUGCAGACAUAAGUCUGGAUAAACAGAAACUUCUUAUUUCGAAUGCUUCAACUCUAAUAGAUGAAAAAACAGAAAACAACAAUUUUUUAGGUAACACCAAGGAUAAUAGCACUGCUCAUUGUUCAUCAGUUGAUGAUAUAUCAAACAAUCAAAAUGGCCAACAAAAUAUGCAUACAAACAUAUUAACAGGUGCAAAUAAUAGCAAUAUGUGUAUAGAA